rnacentral:rRNA from 1 species
UACGUAGGUGGCAAGCGUUGUCCGGAUUUACUGGGCGUAAAGAGCGCGCAGGCGGUCGUUCAAGUCGCGUGUGAAAGCCCCCGGCUCAACUGGGGAGGGUCACGCGAUACUGAUCGACUCGAAGGCAGGAGAGGGUAGUGGAAUUCCCGGUGUAGUGGUGAAAUGCGUAGAUAGUUGGGAGGAACACCGGUGGCGAAGGCGGCUACCUGGACCGGUUCUGACGCUGAUGCGCG